rnacentral:misc_RNA from 1 species
GGAUGAAGAACGUAGCGAAAUGCGAUAAGUAGUGUGAAUUGCAGAAUUCAGUGAAUCAUCGAAUCUUUGAACGCACAUUGCGCCCUUUGGUAUUCCUUAGGGCAUGCCUGUUCGAGCGUCAUCUAAACCUUCAAGCCCUGCUUGGUGUUGGGUGCCUGUCCCGCCUCCGCGCGUGGACUCACCUCAAAUCCAUUGGCGGCCCCCGCGUCGGCCACGAGCGCAGCAGAAACGCGAACUCGUGAGCCCGUCCGGGCGGCUCCCAGAAGCUAACCCCCAAUUUUUGACCUCGGAUCAGGUAGGGAUACCCGCUGAACUUAAGCAUAUCAAUAAGCGGAGGA